rnacentral:ncRNA from 1 species
UUUUGAAAAAGGCAAACCGGUUGAAAAGCCGGGACGCAAAGCCACGGGACUUCGAGCUGCUUACCCCGACAGCUCAUGUUAGCCGGGCUGCCAAA